GGACGAACGCUGGCGGCGUGCCUAACACAUGCAAGUCGAACGAAGUAUAUUUUCGGAAUGUACUUAGCGGCGGACGGGUGAGUAACGCGUGAACAAUCUGCCCUAUACAAAAGGAAUAGCCUCGGGAAACUAGGGAUUAAAACCGUAUGACACUUUUAAGUCGCAUGACAUAGAAGCCAAAUUGAAUAAGAGGUAUAGGAUGAGUUCGCGUCUGAUUAGCUAGUUGGUGGGGUAAAGGCCUACCAAGGCGACGAUCAGUAGCCGGCCUGAGAGGGUGAACGGCCACACUGGAACUGAGACACGGUCCAGACUCCUACGGGAGGCAGCAGUGGGGAAUAUUGCACAAUGGAGGAAACUCUGAUGCAAGCGACGCCGCGUGAGUGAAGAAGGUCUUCGGAUCGUAAAACUCUGUCCUUGGUGAAGAAGAAAAUGACGGUAGCCAAGGAGGAAGCCCCGGCUAACUACGUGCCAGCAGCAGC
rnacentral:rRNA from 1 species